rnacentral:rRNA from 1 species
CGGAGGAAAAGAAACCAACAGGGAUUGCCCUAGUAACGGCGAGUGAAGCGGCAAGAGCUCAGAUUUGAAAUCUGGCGCCUUCGGCGUCCGAGUUGUAAUCUGUAGAGGAUGCUAUUGGGUAGCCACCGGUCUAAGUCCCCUGGAACGGGGCGUCGCAGAGGGUGAGAAUCCCGUAUGUGACCGGAAGGGCGCCCUCCACAUAGCUCCUUCGACGAGUCGAGUUGUUUGGGAAUGCAGCUCUAAAUGGGAGGUAAAUUCCUUCUAAAGCUAAAUAUUGGCCAGAGACCGAUAGCGCACAAGUAGAGUGAUCGAAAGAUGAAAAGCACUUUGGAAAGAGAGUUAAAAAGCACGUGAAAUUGUUGAAAGGGAAGCGCUUGCAACCAGACUUGUUGGCGGUGUUCCGCCGGUCUUCUGACCGGUGUACUCGCCGUCUGCAGGCCAGCAUCAUCUGGGGCCGCCGGAUAAAAGCUUGGGGAAUGUGGCUCCUUCGGGAGUGUUAUAGCCCCUCGUGCAAUACGGCGUGCCUCGGGUGAGGUCCGCGCUUCGGCUAGGAUGCUGGCGUAAUGGUCGUAAGCGGCCCGUCUUGAAACACGGACCAAGGAGUCUAACAUCUAUGCGAGUGUUCGGGUGCCAAACCCCUACGCGUAAUGAAAGUGAACGGAGGUGGGAGCCUUAGGGUGCACCAUCGACCGAUCCUGAUGUCUUCGGAUGGAUUUGAGUAAGAGCAUAGCUGUUGGGACCCGAAAGAUGGUGAACUAUGCCUGGAUAGGGUGAAGCCAGAGGAAACUCUGGUGGAGGCUCGCAGCGGUUCUGACGUGCAAAUCGAUCGUCAAAUUUGGGUAUAGGGGCGAAAGACUAAUCGAACCAU